rnacentral:SRP_RNA from 1 species
GCCGGGUGCCAUAGCGCAUGCCUGUCAUCCCACCUACUUGGGAGGCUGAGGCUGCAGGAUUGCUUGAGUCCGGGAGUUCUGGGCUGUAGUGCCCCAUGCCGAUCAGGUGUCUACACGAAGUUUGCAAUCAAUAUUGUGACCUCCCGUGAGUGGAGGACCACCAGGUUGCCUAAGGAGGGGUGAACCGGUGAACUGGCCCAGGUCAGAAACAGAGCAGGUCAAAACUCCCAUGCUGAUCAGUAGUGGGAUUGUGCCUGUGAAUAGCCACUGCACUCCAGCCUGGGCAACAUAGCAAGAUCCCGUCCCU